rnacentral:tRNA from 2 species
ACCUGGCUGGCUCAGCCAGUUGAGUGUGGGACUCCUGAUCUCAGAGUCAUGGGUUCAAGCCCCAUGUUGGGCA